rnacentral:lncRNA from 1 species
GGAAAUGGGAAUUGUGGCACUGUUGGGGAAUGAAAGGUGUUUGUGUGCGGGCAAAGCUCGCGGCCGCGCUGCGGUUUGGAAGCCGGGGGAGUAACGGAGCGUCGGACGGAGGUGCGGAGAGACCCCGUCAGAGUUAAACGGGAGUUGAAAAAGGCGCAGAGUAACGCAAAGGGAGAAGGUGCGGUGUCCUUUCGGAAACGCAGCUCCGUGGUGCCAUUCGUUUCAUUAAAAGGAACGAACAAAAAAGAGAACGUGAGGGGUUGUUGUGGCAAAAAAUAAAAGGAAAAAAAGAAAGAAAGAAAGAAAGAAAGAUGAACUGAGGCCGGAAAAUAAAGGCAGGCAUCGGGAGCCGAAUUGAGGGCCGAGAGAAAAGCCCAUCCAUCGCGGUUCGGUGCCGAACGCUUCGCAGCCAAACGUGGGCUCAGAGGCGGAGGUCUCCUCAAAGCCCGCUCCUCUCGGAGCAGAUUGCAGCGCCAUGAAUAUGGAUGAUGAUAUUUCGGAGAUGCUCGCAGGUAUUUAAAACCCCGACAGAAGAAAAACCCGCACCGCAAUGACCGCAAAGAGGCUUUUAAGGGGGGAAUUCUAAUAAAAUGGUCAAAUAAAAUCAUAAUGUAGAACAGCUUGCGAUGUCUUUAUUUGCCACAGAAUUUCACAGAGGAUUCCGGGGAUUCACUUUUACAUACACAAAGAAUCAUCUCUUUUUUUAUUAUUAUUAUUUCGGGAUUGUUUCUCUGUUGUUCUCUCGUCGUUCUUCGUCUCCCAUUUUCAGACAAAGGAAGAAAAAAAAAAGACAAAAAAAAAAAGAAAUAAAAAGAAAAGGGAAAAAAAUACACUACGAAAUUUAUUUACAAACCGUUUCGGUUAUUGCAAACGUCUUUUCGUUUGGUUUCAAAACCCCCCCCCCCAACACCUCCCACUCAACAUGAACCUCACGGAAUACAUGUAUAUAUAUACACACAGGCACUGUCGCAUGUAUAUAUGCAUAUAUGUAUUCAUAUACAUAUAAAGGGUGCGUGGCGG